rnacentral:hammerhead_ribozyme from 1 species
GCACUGCCGACGAGUCCCAUACUAGGACGAAACGGCCGUCUAGUGC